GAAAGCUAUAUCUGGACAGAUUUUAAAAACAAAAAAAAAAAACUACAACACUAUCAAGGAAUUAUGCAGCACGGUUCAAGCUGCUAUAUGCAGAAUUUGGAAUCUGCACAGGAAUGCUUUCCACUGUAAUGUAUCAACAUAAAUUGUGGUAUGCGUUUCCUCUGAGUGCAUCANAUCCAACAAUCAAUAGCACAUCACAGAUCACAUAGAUGUUGGUGUAUUAAAAAGCAAAUUGAAACCAGAUGCAACANAACAGAAUUUUUCUCGGUAUCAAUUAACUUGUUAACCUAUGGUACUGCUUGCUGAGGAGCUUCAAGAUGCACUAGGCUUCUUAUUGAAUUACUCCAAUCAACUAUGCAGGUUUAUCCAUUCUUGGUUAAACAUGGAAUUUUAGACAAAAUUGGAAAAUAUUGACAUGACUUUAACAAGACAGAAUCAGAUUUCAAAAGUAAAAACUCAAAUCAUUAACAUGAACCGAUUAAAAUGAUAAUACCAAAUCAAAGCAAAGCUGGAUCAAGAAGAUGACUCAAAGGAAUCUAUAGAAUGUAA
rnacentral:lncRNA from 1 species